rnacentral:rRNA from 1 species
ACGAAGGGGGCUAGCGUUGUUCGGAAUUACUGGGCGUAAAGCGCACGUAGGCGGAUUUGUAAGUCAGGGGUGAAAUCCCGGGGCUCAACCUCGGAACUGCCUUUGAUACUGCAAGUCUUGAGUCCGGAAGAGGUGAGUGGAAUUCCUAGUGUAGAGGUGAAAUUCGUAGAUAUUAGGAAGAACACCAGUGGCGAAGGCGGCUCACUGGUCCGGUACUGACGCUGAGGUGCGAAAGCGUGGGGAGCAAACAG